GACGAACGCUGGCGGCGUGCUUAACACAUGCAAGUCGAACGAAGAGCGAUGGAAGCUUGCUUCUAUCAAUCUUAGUGGCGAACGGGUGAGUAACGCGUAAUCAACCUGCCCUUCAGAGGGGGACAACAGUUGGAAACGACUGCUAAUACCGCAUACGAUCUAAACUCGGCAUCGAGGAUAGAUGAAAGGUGGCCUCUACAUGUAAGCUAUCACUGAAGGAGGGGAUUGCGUCUGAUUAGCUAGUUGGAGGGGUAACGGCCCACCAAGGCGAUGAUCAGUAGCCGGUCUGAGAGGAUGAACGGCCACAUUGGGACUGAGACACGGCCCAGACUCCUACGGGAGGCAGCAGUGGGGAAUCUUCCGCAAUGGACGAAAGUCUGACGGAGCAACGCCGCGGGAGUGAUGACGGCCUUCGGGUUGUAAAGCUCUGUUAAUCGGGACGAAAGGCCUACUUGCGAAUAGCGAGAAGGAUUGACGGUACCGGAAUAGAAAGCCACGGCUAACUACGUG
rnacentral:rRNA from 1 species